GACGUAGGAGGCGAGCGUUGUCCGGAUUCAUUGGGCGUAAAGAGCGCGCAGGCGGCUUGGUAAGUCGGAUGUGAAAACCCGAGGCUCAACCUCGGGCGUGCAUCCGAAACUGCUCGGCUAGAGGUAGGUAGGGGAGAUCGGAAUUCCUGGUGUAGCGGUGAAAUGCGCAGAUAUCAGGAGGAACACCGGUGGCGAAGGCGGCGCUCUGGACCGAGACUGACGCUGAGGCGCGAAGGCGUGGGGAGCAAACAGG
rnacentral:rRNA from 1 species